GACGAACCGUGCAAACGUUAUUCGGAAUCAUUGGGCUUAAAGAGCGCGUAGGCGGCGUCGUAAGUUGGAGGUGAAAUCCCAUCGGCUCAACCGUGGAACUGCCCCCAAUACUGCGAUGCUUGAGGGAGGUAGGGGCCUGUGGAACUUCCAGUGGAGCGGUGAAAUGUGUUGAGAUUGGAAGGAACGCCAGUGGCGAAAGCGACGUGCUGGAUCUCUUCUGACGCUGAGGCGCGAAAGCUAGGGUAGCGAACGGG
rnacentral:rRNA from 1 species